AUUGAACGCUGGCGGCAUGCUUUACACAUGCAAGUCGAACGGUAACAGGGAGCUUGCUCCGCUGACGAGUGGCGAACGGGUGAGUAAUGCGUCGGAACGUGCCGAGUAGUGGGGGAUAACGCAUCGAAAGGUGUGCUAAUACCGCAUACGUACUGAGGUAGAAAGUGGGGGACCUUCGGGCCUCACGCUAUUCGAGCGGCCGACGUCUGAUUAGCUAGUUGGUGAGGUAAAGGCUCACCAAGGCGACGAUCAGUAGCGGGUCUGAGAGGAUGAUCCGCCACACUGGGACUGAGACACGGCCCAGACUCCUACGGGAGGCAGCAGUGGGGAAUUUUGGACAAUGGGCGCAAGCCUGGUCCAGCCAUGCCGCGUGUCUGAAGAAGGCCUUCGGGUUGUAAAGGACUUUUGUCCGGGAGCAAAUGCCUGGUGUUAAUAGCACUGGGAGCUGAGAGUACCGGAAGAAUAAGCACCGGCUAACUACGUGCCAGCCGCCGCGGUAAUAC
rnacentral:rRNA from 1 species